UACGAAGGGGGCUAGCGUUGUUCGGAAUUACUGGGCGUAAAGGGCGCGUAGGCGGUGUGUCAAGUCGGGGGUGAAAGCCCGGGGCUCAACCCCGGAACUGCCCUCGAAACUAGAUAGCUAGAAUCUUGGAGAGGCGAGUGGAAUUCCGAGUGUAGAGGUGGAAUUCGUAGAUAUUCGGAAGAACACCAGUGGCGAAGGCGACUCGCUGGACAAGUAUUGACGCUGAGGUGCGAAAGCGUGGGGAGCAAACAGG
rnacentral:rRNA from 1 species